rnacentral:rRNA from 1 species
UAACAUAAUUAAUAUGUACAAUCUGCUCAAUGAAAAAUUGAAUAGCCGCAAUUGUGCUAAGGUAGCAUAAUCAUUUGUCUUUUAAUUAAAGACUAGAACAAAAGAUUUAUACACUUAAAAUUAUUUCUUUAAUUUAAAUAUUAAAAUUAUCUUAAAAGUAAAAAGUCUUUUAUAUAACAGAAAGACGAUAAGACCCUAUUGAAUUUUACUUUAGUUUAACUGGGGCAGUUAAUUAAUUAAUAUUUUAAUGAAAAUAUUUAUGAAACUGAUCUAAUAAAAUUAAUUAAAUGACCAAAUUACCGUAGGGAUAACAGCGUAAUAAAAUUUAAAAGAUCUUAUUUAAAAAAAUGAUUGCGACCUCGAUGUUGAUUUAAUAUUCUUAUUUGCGCAAUAGUGGGUAAAGAAAGUCUGUUCGACUCUUAAAAAAUU